GACGGGGGGGGCAAGUGUUCUUCGGAAUCCCUGGGCGUAAAGGGCGCGUAGGCGGGAUGGCAAGUCGGUCGUGAAAUCCUUCGGCUCAACCGAAGAACGUCGGCCGAUACUGCCGUUCUUGAGGGAUGCAGAGGAGAUUGGAAUUCCCGGUGUAGCGGUGAAAUGUGUAGAGAUCGGGAGGAACACCGGUGGCGAAGGCGGGUCUCUGGGCAUCUCCUGACGCUGAGGCGCGAAAGCGUGGGGAGCAAACGGG
rnacentral:rRNA from 1 species